CACAGGCAGAGGGAGCAGCAGCCAGAAGGGGAGGAAAAACAGGCUUCCCACUGAGCAGGAAGCCCAAAGCUGGACACAAUUGCAAGACCCUGGCAUCACCACCUGAGCUGAAGGCAGAUGCUUAACUGACUGAGGCACCCAGGAGCCCUACUUUCAGUAUUUUUAUUUUGAUCGUUCUAACAGACAUUUAUUGGAUAUUGCUACAUGUUCCUAGGCACUGGAGACAGAAAAGCGAACAAGACUCAACCCUGCCUCUGCCCUUGUGGAGCUCUCAAAAUAGUGGAGUAGAAAGACAAUUAAAUAAGACAUAAGUACAAAAUUGAUACCGGACUGUGAAGAGCAUGAUAAUAUGAGGACCCACCAUAAUAGACAUGACACAGUCAUGCAGGGAAGACUUUCAUGAGGAGACAGACACUGAGCAGAAAGUAAACGUCCAUUUCUGCUGAGGCAAGAGAUGUUAAAGUCCUGGGCAGAAAAUGGAAAUAUUCCGAAGAAAUCAGGAAGAGGGGAUGUUUCAAUAUUUUCCUAAUAAAAGAAGUCUUUGACAAGAA